rnacentral:lncRNA from 1 species
CACAAUGUGUUCAUUAUUGUGUUUUGACAAGAUAAGGCUCCAUAAGUAUAUAGGAGCUCUUUGGGGAGUAGGAAUUUAACUGGCUGGGAUUGUGAGAGACAGGAUUUUACAUACUUCUGUGUAGUCACCAAUAAUAAUAGUUGACAUACAAUAUAGUUGAAUGCUUUGAGAAUCUCAAAAAUUCCAUGAAAUGGAUGGAGAUUAUUUUCACAUGACAAGUGAAGAAACUGAGGUGCACUGAGGUUCAGUGGAAACUUAAGAAAACAUUGUUGUUUGUAAUCACACUCUACAAACUUUACAAGAAGGGCUCACAUAUUUUUGAGGCUUUGCUAGCCAACCCAGAAGGAAGUGGUCUCCGAAUUCAAGACAAUAAUAAUCUUUUCCUGUCCUUGGGUCUGCAAGAGAAAAUUUUGAAAAAACUUAAGACAGUGGAAAACAAAAUGAAGAACCUAGAAGGGAUAAUCGUUGCUCAAAAACCUGCCACGAAGAGGGAUUGCUCCUCUGAGCCCUACUGCAGCUGCUCUGACUGCCAGAGUCCCUUGUCCACAUCAGGGUUUACUUCCCCCAUUUGAAAUGUGAUGGACUCCAAUCUUUUCCAGGAAAGCACUGUUUCCCUCAUGUGUGCAGUGGUGUAUCAAUAAAGAUAGAGAACGC